GUUUUCUGCGGAGCUGGCAUUUGGGUUUGGAUUUAAAGGGCAAGAAGGAGCCAGACAAGCCAAGGUGUAAGAGAAGAGUCCUCCAAGCAGCAGGGAAGCAAGUGCAAAGGUCCUUGCAGAAGCGAGCUUGGCAUAUUAGAGGGACAGAGGGAGGCCGGAGCAACUGGAGGGUCUUCAGAGACUAUCAAGUGCCAACAAGGGGAUUACCCCUCUGCCCCUCUAAAGGAUUGCAAGAAAGAAGACACCAAAUCCAUGGCAUUUUUUCCCUUAGGAAAGAAGGGAGAUAAUGAGAAGCCUCCACUUGGUAUUCCUUGGAGCAGCUGGAAGCUAAAAACCAAAUGUGGGAACUGUGAAUCCUAUCUCUGGGAUAUGUUUUCUCAGGAAAUGGAGGAAAUGGGUGGGCACGGGUGGCAAAAUAUUCCAGGGGAAUACUUCUUCCUGGGCCUUGUGGGGAACAACUCCCAAAAGGCCAGUGGUUCUCAGCUUUAAGCCUGUGUUAGAAUCACCUGCAGGGCUUAUUAAAACACAGAUUGCCGGGCCUUACCCCCAGAGUUUGAUUUAGUAUUUCUGGGAGUUGGAUCUAUAAUUUGCAUUUCUGAAAGUUCCCAGGUGAUACUGAUGCUCCUGGUCCCAGGACCACAGACAAAUUCUCCUUCUUGUAGCCCCUCAUUCACUCUGCGUAGGAGGCAUGGCUCAUCUGGCUGGUGGGUUUGGGAGGAGGAGCAGACCAUGCUCAGUUAGCCCUCCCCACUCUCCCUUUCUCUCUCUCCCCAUCGCCCUAGCUGCAGAGCAUAUUCAGACAGCUCUCCAAUCAGUUCAUCAGUAAUAAAGGUGACAUGCUGAUCCUCAUCUGUUUUUCUCUUGCAUCUGCCAAUUGAUUCUGCACUUGAGAGGGGAAUAAGUAUAUUUAUUUAUUGGGUUUCCCUCAAAUUCCAACAGAGAAGUUGGUAUCAGUUGCAAAACAAUCAACUGGCAUCCGGGCCACACAGCAGCAUAGGAAUCUUGGUUUUAGCUUCCACUAAAAUAUCAAUUAUUUGAGGGCAAAAAAUGUCCAAUUCCUGGGCCUUUAAGAUAGGAAGUCAGGUCUGUGGAUGGGGUGAGGUCACCAGGAUGAGGUCACAAAGGCAUUGAUGCCCCUUUGUCCUAUCAUGUGACCACUUGUCACACUUCCAUCAAACAGUACCUGCCCCUUAGGUGUGCUAGGGAAUAAAUGAAAUGCCUGGGACAUCAUCGUUAAGUGGCAUCUGAUGCAUAAGCAGUGCCCUAGGAAUGGGGUUGCCUGCCUUGGUCUCUAAAGGAUGGGUUCAAAAGGCAAGAGCAGCACACAAGAAGAUAGCUUCAAGCAGGAGAUAAAGCUUGGCCCAGGGCCCAAAGGGGAUACGACCCUUCAGCAAACUGACAUGCUGAAAGCUGCCCUAUGGAGAGGCUCAUGUGGCAAGGAACAGAGGGUGGCUUCUGGCCAACACCCAGUGAGGAACUCAGGCCCUCAGUCAAACAGCCUGCAAGGAACUGAACCCUGCCAAUAACCGCAGUGUCAGCCCCCGGCCAAUGACCACCAUGGACCUCCCUGUAGUUGAACAAAGUUGGGUUUGCUGACUGGUGGCAGUGAGGGAGAAUGCACACCACAGGGAGCUGUGCAGUGUCUCAGUAAGAAGCCAGGAGCCAUCCCGUGAGGCCGUUACUGCAAACAAGCUGAAAAUCCUGCUUUGUUUCUUUUGGACACAACAUGCUUUCCUUCAGCUUCAGUAGACGAUGAGGCCAGCACCACAUGGGCUAGAUGUACAUGAGAUGUGAGCAACCACACUUCCCCUCUGACGGGGACAGACAGCAUCACAGGCUGAGCUCUGAAACUUCUCCUGGCAGUUCAAGAGAGCGAUGGAGGGAAUGCUGGGGCACAUCUAAAUAAAGCCUCCAAGUGGGAGUUCCUGCUCAGCUAUGCAUGAGCUCUUUGUGACUUCAUCUCCCAGCCUACAACUUGUGAAAUAAGCACGACUUCACUCAGAGCACAGCCAGAAACAUACAAACUUUCCAAAAAUAUUUGAAUGUUGACAGCAGACUGUCUUGCAUUCCAGUGAAUAAUUGGUUUGUAUGAGUGUGUGUGUGACCUAAAUCCACAGAACUUACCAUUCUGUGGCUAUAC
rnacentral:lncRNA from 10 species